CUAUGUUAUCGCGAGAGUUAGCGGCCUCCGGUGUGGGAUGGCCGCGGAGCCGGGCGGAGCUGGCCUGCGGCUCCCGGGGCCGGCUCUCCGGCCGGAGACAUGGCCCGGGGGCCCGGCCCGCUAGGCAGGCCUCGCCCCGAUACGGUCGCCAUGCCCAAGAGAGGAAAGCGACUCAAGUUCCGGGCCCACGACGCCUGCUCCGGCCGAGUGACCGUGGCGGAUUACGCCAACUCGGAUCCGGCGGUCGUGAGGUCUGGACGAGUCAAGAAAGCCGUAGCCAACGCUGUUCAGCAGGAAGUAAAAUCUCUUUGUGGCUUGGAAGCCUCUCAGGUUCCUGCAGAGGAAGCUCUUUCUGGGGCUGGUGAGCCCUGUGACAUCAUCGACAGCAGUGAUGAGAUGGAUGCUCAGGAGGAAAGCAUUCAUGAGAGAACUGUCUCCAGAAAAAAGAAAAGCAAGAGACACAAAGAAGAACUGGACGGGGCUGGAGGAGAAGAGUAUCCCAUGGAUAUUUGGCUAUUGCUGGCCUCCUAUAUCCGUCCUGAGGACAUUGUGAAUUUUUCCCUGAUUUGUAAGAAUGCCUGGACUGUCACUUGCACUGCUGCCUUUUGGACCAGGUUGUACCGAAGGCACUACACGCUGGAUGCUUCCCUCCCUUUGCGUCUGCGACCAGAGUCAAUGGAGAAGCUGCGCUGUCUCCGGGCUUGUGUGAUCCGAUCUCUGUACCAUAUGUAUGAGCCAUUUGCUGCUCGAAUCUCCAAGAAUCCAGCCAUUCCAGAAAGCACCCCCAGCACAUUAAAGAAUUCCAAACAUAGCUUUGUGGGACACUGGAGCCGUUGUGAUGGCAGCAGAAGUGUUUUCCCCUUAAAGCCAAGCCCAUUAAUUUUGAUGGAACAGCAGGACGUACAGGGCAUGUCUGAAGGGCAGGACAGCUGGCACGGCGGACGACCCACCCCUUAUCCCCUGGGAGUGCUUACUUUUCUGGUGCAGAAAGAUUGUUGGGAACAGACAGGAACCAAUGUGGGAAUUCAACUUCAAGUUCAAAAAACAGUCCCCUAGGUUAAAGAGCAAAUGUACAGGAGGAUUGCAGCCUCCCGUUCAGUACGAAGAUGUUCAUACCAAUCCAGACCAGGACUGCUGCCUACUGCAGGUCACCACCCUCAAUUUCAUCUUUAUUCCGAUUGUCAUGGGAAUGAUAUUUACUCUGUUUACUAUCAAUGUGAGCACGGACAUGCGGCAUCAUCGAGUGAGACUGGUGUUCCAAGAUUCCCCUGUCCAUGGUGGUCGGAAACUGCGCAGUGAACAGGGUGUGCAAGUCAUCCUGGACCCAGUACACAGCGUUCGGCUCUUUGACUGGUGGCAUCCUCAGUACCCAUUCUCCCUGAGAGCAUAGUUACUGCUUCCCAUCCCUUGGGGGCAGCCUCGAGUCUAGUCCAUUAGUAAUCAGAUUCCAGUUUGGACAGGGUGGCUGGAUUGUAUAUCUGGUUAGUAAUGUACAUGCUCUUCAGGUUCUAGGGCUCAUGUUAGGGGAGGGAGAAAUGUUGAAUCAAGAGGGAAAACAACUACUAUGAUUUAUAAACAUUUUAAUGUAAAAAUUUGCAUUUAAAAGGAGUGGCCCUGUUUUCUGUGUUAAAACCCCAUUUGGUGCUAUUGAGUUUGUUCUUUAUUCUUUUAUCCCAGUGAAAAUUGUUGAUCUUGCUGUAGGGAAAAAUUAAACUCUUUGAAUCUCCAAACAAGGAAGUUUCAGCAUUCCCUUAUGGAUCAGAGGAAACUUAGAGGCCUGAAAUUGUUGCUUCCAGUUUAGCUGCCCCUCAAAUUCAAGUGAAUAUUUUCCCUUCUCCCUUUACCCUUCUCCAGAAAUAAAGCAGGUGACAGGGUUUUCAGAAUCUUACCAGAUUGACUUGUGUAUCUUUUUUAAAAAAUAAUUUGUGAUAUUUAUUGCAUACAUUUUCUUUUGCCAGUUUUGGAUUUUAGGUAUUUUUUUGCAUGAGGCUGAUAGUGGUGAUGAUGACUUUAUACCCUUGGUACUAUACUAGGAACUUUACAUAGUAUCUCUACUUCUCACAGUCUUGCAAAGUAGGUGAUAUUAUUCCCAUUUUAUGGUUGCGAAAACGGAAUUAGUGACUGUACCUAUAACACCAGUAAAUGCAGAGCCAAGAUUCUGACCCAGGUCUUUUUGUUAUACCAUAAUUUUAAAAGAUGAGUCUCAUUUUUCUUGUGGUAGAUGGUGGUAAAAGGGAGUAGGCAGAGUGUACAUAGAUAGUAAAAGGGUAAGUAAAAAAUUGAUUGUGGUAUGCCUUACUCUAAUCAGCCGAAAAAGUAUAGAAGAUUGAUGAAAUGACCUUUUAAAUAUGUAUUUCUGAGUAAAAUGUAAAACCAAGAAAGUUAUUUCAGGAAGGAUAGUGAUACUUUCAUUGAACUGUUAGAAAGGCAUUUAUUAGGCUAAAACGUCAUUAACAAAAUGCAUUGCAUGUUGAAACCAGCCUCUUGAACCAUAAGCACUUAGCGACUUUGCUCUGCCCUGUACUGUGCUGCUUCUGCUGUCAUCCUGUGUGCCUACAGAAGCCUGGUCUUCCGUCCAUGCAGAAAUGCUUAUGUCCUCCUGUUGUUUAGAUGACUCCUGUUGUUCAGGUGUACUCUGAGAAGAGAAUCACAAAUGUUUUUCUGUUUUGCUAAGAAGAAAACCUUGCUGCUUGUCUCUCCUCCCACCCUCCACCAUCCAAAAUUAACCAGCGAGCUGGAUAUUACCUGGAUAUUGCCAGGAGGUGGGCAUUAAGACAGUAUUCUUUAAAAAUGAAAAUCUUGUGGAGGAAAAUCUUGUGAGGCAAAUUGCUAAAUUCGCUUUUUUUUUUUUUUUAAACCAUCUUCCCUAGGAAUAUUCUUAGAAAGCAUCUGCUUAAUUUUGCUGCUAACAGCUAACCUUAUCCCACGUUGAGGGUGGUAUUAAAACUGUUCACACAGAGUGAGCCUGGGUCAGUCAAAAACAGAAUUCGGGCAUUUAAGUGAUAACAGACAAAAAACCUAAGGACAGUGGGCACUUUGCAGAUCUCUACAAUGAAAAGUUGCCUCUUUGAGGCAGGAGGAGAGAAGCACAGUCCCUGCCUGGUUGCCGGAACUAAAGAUGCCAUGGAGCAGGAGUGUCUUGGUGCAUUGUUCCCCGCUUAGGAGUACCUUUAAAAAGGGGGUGAAAUAAAUUUGGCUUAAUAAUUGUA